rnacentral:rRNA from 1 species
UCGAGAAUUUUUCACAAUGGGCGCAAGCCUGAUGGAGCGACGCCGCGUGGGGGAUGAAGGGCUUCGGUCCGUAAACCCCUGUCAUUUGCGAACAAUGCUGUUGACCUAAUACGUCAACAGUUGAUAGUAGCGAAAGAGGAAGGGACGGCUAACUCUGUGCCAGCAGCCGCGGUAAUACAGAGGUCCCAAGCGUUGUUCGGAUUUACUGGGCGUAAAGGGUGCGUAGGUGGCGAGAUAAGUCUGAUGUGAAAUCUCCGAGCUUAACUCGGAAAAGGCGUUGGAUACUAUCCCGCUAGAGGGUCGGAGGGGAGACUGGAAUUCUCGGUGUAGCAGUGAAAUGCGUAGAUAUCGAGAGGAACACCAGUGGCGAAGGCGAGUCUCUGGACGACUCCUGACACUGAGGCACGAAAGCUAGGGGAGCAAACAG